CUUGGUGUGUUCCUCUUUGGGUUAAUUCUGUAUAGGACUCCUUGGGCUUCCUGGACUGGGGUGACUAAUUCCUUUCCCAGGUUAGGGAAGUUCUCAGCUAUUAUCUCUUCCAAUACUUUCUCUGGCCCUUUCUCUCUUCUUCUGAGACCCCUAUAAUGCAUGUAUUAGUGCACUUGGUUUUGUUCCAGAAGGCUCUUAAACUGUCCUCAUUUCCUUUCACUCUGUUUCCUUUUUUUUUUUUUUUUUUUUUUUCUGUUCAGUGGUAAUGAUUUCUACUAUUCUGUCUUCCAGGUCACUGAUCUGUUCUUAUCAUUUAGUCUACUAUUGAUUGCUUCUAGUGUAUUUUUGAUUUCAGGUAUUGUAUUCUUCAUCUCUGUUCUUCAUAUUUUU